rnacentral:rRNA from 1 species
UGCGCAGGCGGACCUAUAAGUCAGUGGUGAAAUCCCGGGGCUCAACUCCGGAACUGCCAUUGAUACUGUAGGUCUUGAGUUUGGUUGAAGUGGGCGGAAUGUAGCAUGUAGCGGUGAAAUGCAUAGAUAUGCUACAGAACACCGAUCGCGAAGGCAGCUCACUAAACCAAAACUGACGCUCAGGCACGAAAGCGUGGGUAGCGAACAGGAUUAGAUACCCUGGUAGUCC